CUGGCCUCUUGGGUGUCACUGGUAAUAUACUUGGAACUCAAGUGUAACCGUGAAGUUCCCUGGUAGCUGAGCUGGUGACUUAACUAUUAUCACCUUCCUUGCCACCUCCUGAGAGCUUGGGAAGCCUUUCUUGUUACUGUGGUUUGAAGAGUGUGAUUCUCCCUUAUUUCCCUGUGCACCUUCUGUCACCAUGACAUCAGCUCAAAUGUGGUCUUCUUGCCUUGAGUGAACCAGCACCCAUAUUACCAAGGCCAGCAUGAUCAGAGAGGUGUAAACUCUUUACAGGUGGGUCAGCUGGAGAAGAUGCAAGGAUCUGUAUCCACAAAGGAGC
rnacentral:lncRNA from 1 species